UGCCAGCCGCCGCGGUAAUACGUAGGGAGCGAGCGUUAUCCGGAAUUAUUGGGCGUAAAGCGUGCGUAGGCGGUUCGUUAAGUCAAAUCUGAAAGCCCACAGCUUAACUGUGGAGGGUGAUUUGGAACUGGCGAGCUUGAGUACGGCAGAGGUUAGUGGAAUUCAAUGUGUAGCGGUGGAAUGCGUAGAUAUAUUGAGGAACACCAGUGGCGAAGGCGGCUAACUGGACUGAUACUGACGCUGAGGUGCGAAAGUGUGGGGAGCAAACAGGAUUAGAUA
rnacentral:rRNA from 1 species